UACGGGGGGGGCAAGCGUUGUUCGGAAUUACUGGGCGUAAAGGGCUCGUAGGCGGCCAACUAAGUCAGACGUGAAAUCCCUCGGCUUAACCGGGGAACUGCGUCUGAUACUGGAUGGCUUGAGAUUGGGAGAGGGAUGCGGAAUUCCAGGUGUAGCGGUGAAAUGCGUAGAUAUCGGGAAGAACACCCGUGGCGAAGGCGGCUCUCUGGAACGCAACUGACGCUGAGACGCGAAAGCGUGGGGAGCAAACAGG
rnacentral:rRNA from 1 species